CUUUCUUUGCUGGCGACCGGCGCACGGGUGAGUAACACGUAUCCAACCUGCCCUUUACUCGGGGAUAGCCUUUCGAAAGAAAGAUUAAUACCCGAUAGCAUAAUGAUUCCGCAUGGUUUCAUUAUUAAAGGAUUCCGGUAAAGGAUGGGGAUGCGUUCCAUUAGGUUGUUGGUGAGGUAACGGCCCACCAAGCCUUCGAUGGAUAGGGGUUCUGAGAGGAGGGUCCCCCACAUUGGAACUGAGACACGGUCCAA
rnacentral:rRNA from 1 species